rnacentral:tRNA from 1 species
AAUGGAGCUUUUCCUCUUUAGA